rnacentral:lncRNA from 1 species
GCCAUAUUACCUAAAUAACUCCACUUAUUCUUGACCAAAUCAGGAAAAUUGGCAUGUUUUGUUCAUCCUACAAGACACCGAAAGAAACGCCUUUUAGGAGCACUAAUAUCCAAAUUGGUUUUGAGGAGAAUGGGCAUGUGAUCUGGAUUGAUGCGCAAAAACUAGUUUGAUGCGCAAAAGGUGAUAUACAAGACAGUGCGAAAAAUAUGAUAUCCAAGUGUCAUUGGCAAGCGCUCGAUCCAACCUUUCAUACGUAUUGCCUCUUUACCAGGUAAAGGAAGGUCCAAUGAAUCCUAUAUCUUGUAAGUUACAAUAGUCAACAAAAUUACCAAAAAAAUUUGCAUCUCUUACCUAUGCUACGAUCACUUUUCUUAUCAUCAGGUGAUAGUAUAGCAUUAAAGCCCCCCAUAAUCAGCCACGAAAAGGGAUCGUUAAGUAACACGAUUAUUAAAUCAUCCCAUAGAGAAUUUCUCUUUGCUCUGUCAGGACUACCAUAAACAAAAAAGAUAAGAAAGAAGUUAUUGGUAACACUGCCAAAAACUCGAAGGAGAAUGAACUGGGGAUGAUUAUGAAUGACACUAAUCUGAAUAGAUUCCUUUCAGCCCACCCAAAUUUCUCUUGAAAAUCCAAUAACCUCAAUACGGUGAGAAAAAUCAAAACCUAAUUUAUCAAUAAUUGAAUUUACUUUAUUAUCACUAAUUUUUUGUUCCAGUAGACACAAUAUCCGGCCUAUACUCGAUAUUAAAUUCACGGAAGACAUAGAGAAAUUUGUUGCUUGCAUAGCCUUGAAAAUUCCAAGAAAAUAUUGUUAAAAUUAAAUCCAUAUUAUCAAAAUAAUAAUAAAAUUAAGAUAAAACAAUUAGAUAUUACUGCUUAGAGCUUAUAAAACAAACCUGAAGUCUUUUCGCUGCAUUUGAACCAUUUAGGCCCAAUUCUUCGAUACUUUCUGUCGAAGUAGCCUUAGCCAACUUGGACAUAGAAACACAUAACAAAUAUUUAGAAAAAAUUUUAACCUUAAAAUUGCUCUAUUUCCCAUGUGGUUUUGUUAAUUUUUUUUUAAUAUCUUGAAAACUCUUUUCUUUCCCUCCCAUCAUUCUCCUCGAAUUCAUUGAUCUACCAGCCUCCAAAUCUGAAACUUUGGUCUCCUCCGACAAGGUGUUGUCGACUGGGACAGUGACUUUGAAAGAAGUUGUCAAGUGCUUAAUAGGGUUUAGCCCUCCAGUGGAGAUGGCGACUAGAACUUCCACUGGACUUAGCAUCGAAGAAGUUGGUUUGGUUGGGAGCUUUGGGACACUAUCACUGUCGACAUUAAAAAAGCCCGAUCUCGAGUCUGAAAUCUCACCCUCACUUGUUGGACAUUGAGUUCACUAACAGAAACCCCUGUAACAAAUGAUUGCCGCCGACUGAUAGCCUCAUUAACGUAACUUCGAAUGAAUAAAGUUUUCCUAGCCCUUGGCUAGGAGGACGACCUAAUAGCCUGGCCUGAUAAAUUAACCAAC